AGCCGUGUGAUGACGACAUAGCGAACUAUUCUUUCGCCUUUUACUAAAGAAUACUGUGUCAGGGUCGCAUUUAGCGGCAUAUGCUAUAGUUUUAAUUUUUUCCUCUAUUUCUUAGUAAUUGAG
rnacentral:snRNA from 2 species